rnacentral:ncRNA from 2 species
UGGUGAGGUAGAGGCGCGAUAAGCAAGAGUAACUGACGAAAGGGUGAUUCCGUUUGAUUGUCAGCCAAAGCUUAAUCGCCGAAGUGAGAGAAGAGUAUCGAACUCUCUUGCUGGGGUUGUUUCCGAAAGGGACAACACUGCCAUAGUCUAUUGUGUUGUUAAACUAUGGAGCGCUACUGUGGGG